GGGGCUGAAGCUCAGUGGUAGAGCACUUGCCUAGCAUGUGUGAGGGUUCGAUCCUCAGCACCG
rnacentral:tRNA from 1 species